rfam:Eutrema salsugineum unplaced genomic scaffold scaffold_9, whole genome shotgun sequence.
AAUCCAUUGUGAGGGCAGUCACGUUCAUAUUCCUUAAAACGUUCCCAAGCUUCAUAGAAAGAUUCAGUUGGCCCUUGUUGAAAUGUUGAGAUCUUCGUUCUCAAAUU